UCAGGGCUCACCUGGCCACUCCACCUGCUGGGAUAGAGUCCCCCCGCCCCCCCCCCUCCCAACUACCCUAGGUCCCCAGAGCUUGGGGGGAGGAGACGCUGGGAGGGGACCCUGGGACUCAGAGCUAAGAACCCAGGCGGCGGAGAGGCGCGGGAACUGGGCGUUCAGAGUUUGUAGACACGCGAAGUAGGGAGUCGGGAGGCUGGGCUGAGGGCGGGGAGGGAGGGGACAGGCCGGUCCCUGCCUCAGCCGAGGGCCCUGCAGUCGGUGCGGUCUCUGGGGUCCCGGCUGGCCGGCCCGCAGUGGCUGCUCCUUGCUGUCUGGCCCACCGCUAACUUCUCCCAGCGGACCCAUGGAACUCGUCAUGUUGGUGAGGCGCUGCGCUGGGGCCCUGGGGGCCUGACCCUGCUCCAGCCGCCCUGCCGCAGGGCCCCCACUGCCCGGGACUUGGAGUGGAGACAGAUCCGAGAACACCGCUGCUCACCCGGGCGCCACAGGGGCAGUGCUGGCGCAGUGGCCUACUAUGCACUAAUCUACAGCCUAAAAUCCUUCCAUGGCUCCUUCUGGCCUUCAGAGUAGAGUCCAAGCUCCUCACCAUGGCACAGAAAGUCCUGAGUGACCUGGCUGCUGCCCGUGUCUACAGCCUUUCACCCUCUGCCUGAAACGCCGACACAAAAUUUACACAAAGGGAGUAUGUGAGAGACCACAGAUACGAGGAAAGAGAAGCCAGGAGACAGGUAAAAGCUGUGCCAGUGGUUCAGAAUGGGUGCUGGCAGGGGACAAGAAAAGCAAGAAGAUACAUGAAGAGAGACAGAUGGAAAGACCAACAGGCUCCUGGCAAUCAGGAGGCAGGCUUGGAGCCAGUCACUGCUGAAGGUGAUGGGGUCAGACAGACAGUUCUGGAGCUGUGCUGGACCUGAAAUGGGCCCCCUAUUCCUGAACCCCAUUCCAGGCAACAGGAGGCCCAGCCGUAAGGCAGUUUCUGGUUUCCCAAGUCUCUCUUACAUUCUUGCAAUAACUUCCCAUUAUUUGAGGUGGCCCGAGUGAACCCCAAGCAUGAAACAAUACAAAUGGCAACUGAAGCCACGGAUGGGGGUGUCAAUCUCCCACAGAACGUGUACGGCAAGAGAAGACUGUCCAGGAUGGAGCCCUAGCGAAUACUGACUCUGAAAUCAAGGACGCUGAGAAAGAGAAUGAGAGAGAUUGGCGAGCGAAAUCAGAAGAACGAAAUCAGCAGAAAUUACUGACUCCGAAGCCCGAGCAGGAGAAGUUUCAAAGAGGAAGGAGUAGUCAACAUAAAGCAUGUUUCUGAGAGGUCAGGAAACAUGUGUCCACUGGAUUUGGCAGCCUUGAGCAAAGUGGAGAUCUCAGGGAGUGCAGUCCCAUAUGGGAAAGGCAUCAGCUCUGAAACGCGACAUCCCAGCAUCCAUUCCAAGGCCACACCUUCGUCUCCUGACUCUCUCCCUUCUUCCAGUUCCCAGCCCUACAUUUCUGUUCAGUACACGACCCCUUCCUGGUCUAGUCCCUGAAGUAGAUCACGCCAGCUCUCUUGUGAGCUCCCUCAGUCCCCUGCCCCCUUGCUCUUUGAUUGCCCCAGCCUAGGGAAACCCUGAACUUGGGCUCAGUCCAUUCACCCACCUUUUCCACCCUUACAAAUGGGCUUCAGUACUGCUGGAGAGAGUCACAGUAAUCCUGCAGACUGGAGGCAUUACCAAGCCAUGGACUCUAAUCUACUAUUUCAGGGUGUUUGUUAUUCGCCUAGAAAACCUAAAACAAUCAACUAAACUUAGAAGGCACAGAAUAAUUUAGUAAUGGGAUCUGUACUCCAACAGAAAACAGUCACCAGAUACAAUACAAAGGAGAUCCCAUCUGCAAUCCUAACAAAAUCAUCAAAACUGAGUAAUAAACUUAACUAUAAUUAAAAAAAAAACACUACAAUCCUUUAUCGAGAGAUAUAAAAAGAGGACUUGAAAAAAAAUUGGAGAUAAACCAUGUUUUUAGAUUGGAAGGCUGAAUAUUAACACAAUGGCACACCCUCCCUGAUAAAUGAAGGCCUAACAGAAGUCUAAGAAAAAUCCCAACAGGGCUUUUGAAAUUUACCAAAAGGAUUCUAAAAACCCACCCAAAAUAUUCAACAGGUAAAAUAGCCCCCAAAUUUAAAAAUUAGAUAUUAACAGGGGUGCCUAGGUGGCUCAGUCGGUUGAGCAUCCAACUCUUGACUUUAGCUCAGGUCAUGAUACCUGGGUUGUGGGAUCGAGCCCCCUGUCGGGCUCUGCACUGAGCCUGGAGCCUGCUUGAGAUUCUCUCCCUACGCCCCCUCCCCUGCUCAUUCUCUCUAAAUAAACAAAUAAAUAAAUAAAUAAGAUAUUAAGAAUAUAUUAUGAAAUUGCAAUUAUUAAGAUAUGGGAUACGUGUAUAAGAAUCUGUGUGUGACACAAAGAUCCGUGAAACAAGACAGCCCAGAAGUAGAGUAAUAUAUAUAUUUGUUACCCUCUAAAGUAUGUGUAUGCGUGUGUAUGUGUCUCUGUGUAUGUAUCCUGGCGCUUUGUGGUGGAAUGCACACCUAGGUAGAAUUCUCCGGUAUUGCUAUAGGAGUAAAAUUGGUAGAGCCUUUCUAAAAGACGAUGUGAGAGGCACCUGGGUGGCUCAGUGGGUUAGGUAGCUGACCCCUAAUUUCAGCUCAGGUCAUGAUCUCACAGCGAGAUCUCACGUUGGACACUGUGCUGACAGUGCGGAGCCUGCUUCGGAUUCUCUCUCUCCCUCUUUCUCUGCCCCUCCCCUGCUUACAUGCACGCUCUUGCUCUCUCUCAAAAUAAAAAAUAAAUAAAAGGCAAUCUGACAAUAUGUAUCAAAAGCCUCAAAGUUGUUUUUAUAUCCGCUGACUGCAAUAUUUCUCUUCUAAAAGUAGUCAGAAUGGUGAAGACCUUUGGAAAAGGGUGUUUAUUACAGUGUUAUUCAUAAAGGUGAAAAAAAAAUCCAGAGGCUUACAACAGAGGUUCGAUUAAAUGAUACAUCUGCAUAACUCAGUGUUAUAGACAUCAAAAGUAUGUUUUCUAAGAAUUGUGUCACUAAGAUGCACUGUAACUUAUUUAACCAAUCUGCUGUUGCUGGACACGGACCUGGUUUCUUCUGGUUUCUUCAGAUCUGCUCUGCCUUCUGUGUUCUCUCUUCUACUAUCCACCCAUCUUCCAAACCAGAACACCAGGAAUUCACAUUAAAUUCUUCGUAUCUUCAGCCCAUCCUGGCUUACUUGGUCAUCUGCUUCUUUCAAUUCUAUCUUCUUAGAAUCCCACAGACCCAAGGUCAGGGGCGACAGUACCCGGUAGGAAAGGGAAGUGUGGACAUGGCCCAGAUCUCACGCAGACCUGGGGAGGAACUGCUCCUGGGAGGGCCAGGUGUGGACUGAAAGGAAUGGCAGGUGCCAGCCUGUGCCAGGCCCCUGUCCCCUCUGCGGAGCCUGGCAGGCUCCAAGAGUUCUCCCCCCCCGGGGUUUCUGCCCGUGCCUGUCCCCCACACGUGAAGAGCAGAGGGCACAGGGGCUGCUUGGGAGAGCCAGGAACAGGCACAGCCUGGGGUGUGCGAGACUCCAGGCUAGUUUUCACAGACAUUACUUGAUUUGUAUCUCCUCCAUUCUCCCCCACUUCACAGCUACAGAUCCCAAGACAAAGUAGCAUGCUCAAGGUCACACAAGUGGCUGGGCCAACACUCAAACCCGAAUGUCAUAAAACCAAGAUGGGCGUUCUUUCUCCAUGCUAUUUAUCACCAUCAC